CCUACGGGUGGCAGCAGUAGGGAAUAUUGCUCAAUGGGGGAAACCCUGAAGCAGCAACGCCGCGUGGAGGAUGAAGGUUUUCGGAUUGUAAACUCCUUUUGUUAGAGAAGAUAAUAACGGUAUCUAACGAAUAACCACCGGCUAACUCCAUGCCAGCAGCCGCGGUAAUACGGAGGGUGCAAGCGUUACUCGGAUUCACUGGGCGUAAAGAGCGCGUAGGCGGGAUAGCAAGUCAGAUGUGAAAGCCUAGGGCUUAACCAUAGAACUGCAUUUGAAACUGUUAUUCUAGAGUAUGGGAGAGGUAGGUGGAAUUCUUGGUGUAGGGGUAAAAUCCGUAGAGAUCAAGAGGAAUACUCAUUGCGAAGGCGACCUGCUAGAACAUAACUGACGCUGAUGCGCGAAAGCGUGGGGAGCAAACAGGAUUAGAUACCCUAGUAGUC
rnacentral:rRNA from 1 species